AUUCGGUUUUAGAGACCAAUUUAGCGACCGAAAUAAUUUGGUCGCUAUAGAGACCGAAUUAGAGACCAAAAUUUCGAGCAUCAAAGUCAAAAAAUAUUCAGUCGCUAAAUCGGUCACUACGUAAUUAUAGAGACUGAAUUAGAGACCAAUAAUUAGUGACCAAUGUUUCGGUCGCUGUAGAGACCGAAUUAGAGACCAAAAUUUUGAGUGUAAAAGUCAAAAAAUAUUCGGUCGCUAAAUCAGUCGCUAUGUGAUUAUAGAGACCGAAUUGGAGACCGAUUAUGAGCGACCAGCCGAUCCGACGCAAACAAUUAUUUUUUUUUAAAUACUAAUUAUCUGUAUUUUUUUAUAUAUUUUUAGAUAUUAAACAUUAACAAUUAACAAUAUGAACUACAAACCUUACCAAAAAUAAAAAACAAUAUGAACUAGAAACAAACAUUGAUAUAUUUUAAGAACUCAAAUUUAAAAGGGGAACAAGAAAAUAAAACCCUAAGCUCAAAUGAACAUCUCUGAAUACGAUCUUUUCCACUCGAUCUCUCUCAACUCACGUAAUUCCUAACCUAUCGACUCUCAAUUGUGAACGCAUCUCUCGCUGAUUCUUCAAGUUGUUCGCCCUGCUCAAUCAUUCUCUUCGUUUCUGCAUUGACUCGGUACCUUUAUCUUUCUCUCUCAAAUCCCUCGUUCUUAUUUUCUUCUGCUAUGAUUUCUUAUCUUUCUUUUUGGGUUUUUUGUUUAUGUUCUUUAUUUUUUAGGGUUUGUGGGAAUUUUUUAGAAUUUGUGGUUUGUGAAGAUCUUUGAAUCUUUGAUUUUCUUAGGUAUAUUUUGUUUGAUUUUUUUUUUCUGGUGUGAUGUUUGGUUGGUCUGUUAGACCGGUUCGAUUCCUUGCUGAUUGUUUCCUUGAGAUUUUUGAAUCACAUCUAACCUUUUCAAGUAUUUUGGUUGUCUUCUACUAGUGCUGAUUUGUUCGCUCAGUAGUGCCCUUUAUUGAUGCUUAUUUGGAUAGUAACUAUCCAAAUAUUAUACAUUGAGCCACUAACUACCAACACGUUUCCAUAACCUCUCAUUCACCUAUUAUAUCCAAAUACCAGUGCUGAUGUUACUAUAAAUUAUGUUUACUUAUAUUUAAAAGAUGAGAUUCAAGCUAAAAGCUAAAAGAAAGCUAUACAAAAUAGUGUUAAAUAGACAAAAGACCAAUAGAAAAGGAACAAAAUCAAACAAAACCUUAUGACUUUAGAAAUAUGAAAGUCAUUUUGUACCAUAUCUAAUGAAUUGUGAUUCUAAUUUUCAUAAUUGAAUGCAUGAGGAAAAAUUGAUUUGUAGGGCUGCAACAAUUAAUGAAAACAUUAAACAUAAGUUAGAACAUGUCACUAUAUAUAAUAGCUGAAAAUAAGCAUGAUAAAUAUAAAGAAAGAGUUAGUUUAUUUACAGGAUUUAGCAGUUACUUGUAGGGAGUCAUCCAAAAGCAAUGUGUUUGACUCAUUAUAAUAUCCAUUCUCCCAAGGAAGAUUAGGAUUAUAUACUUUGUCCUAAAUUUUCCUUAAUUCCUUCAAAACGUACAAGUGGUUUGUGCUUGUUUUCAAGAGUACUGUCAAGAAUGUUUUACAAAAGAGACCAAUCAUGCUAAAAACUUGCAUGUAUCAGUCAAUAAAGAAUUAACAUAUAGUAAUCCCGGCCAUACUUUGAGAUUGGAUGGUAAUGAUUUUAAGUUGGAUUGUAAUCUCCUGCCCCAACAGUUACUCUCAUACACAUAACUGCAUUAAGGAUGGAAGAAAAAAAAAGCAGUGUUAGAUUCAAUGAUGCAGAAAAGAAUAAGUUAAAUCAUUUGGUAUAUUGAAUAACACAAGUUAUUGAUGCAUCACUUUCAUAAGGUAUUUAUUGCAUACUUCUAUUCACCAUUUCCAUGAAUUUUUCCAUUAUGUGAUUGUUUGUAAAUUCAUUGCAAUUUAGAAGUUGAUCUGUUUUUUUUGGUAUUUUGUGUUUGCUUUCAGCCUGCUAUCAGUCCAAAUGGUGUGCUAUUAUUCGGUUUUGUAAUUAGUACAUAUGCAAAUCAUAUACACAUAAUAAAUAAUAUAUACACAAUAAAAUCUUUAUACAUUUUCACCAUUCCUUAUCUUUUUUCAAAGAAUCUCAUGUAUUACUCAAUGGUCAUUCCUUAAUUUAUAGCUAGAGUUUGUGCAUUAAUUGAAUGCAUACCAAUAAAAGAGGAAUAAAUUUAAUUGGAAGUGGCUAAAGAAUUCUGUAUAAUUAGCUUUUUCAACUUCAUGCUAAUUACAUAAACAAGACUUAUUAAGUUCUUCUAAUCUAAUUAUCAUUGCUUCUCUGGUAGUAAAAUAUUCAAUUCUUGUUCAAAUCUCUCUUUUGUGAUAUCAGUAAGACACUACUUUCCACUUCAAUUGCUGAAACCAAGUAUAAUAAUAUUUUGUUGAUCUAGAAAACGGAUUUGAAAUCUGAUGGAUACACUUGAAUCUGAUACUGAAUUGUGGUAGGCCACGCUAGGUACUUCCCCUUUAGAUGUAAGAUUUGACACAGAUGCCUUAUAACCAAAAAGAAUUGGCACUUUUCAACUCUAGAAAUCUAAUGAUUUUUGUUUUCCUCCAAUGAUUAAUAUACCAACAUGUUAUAGGUGAUUUUACACAAGUUCAGAGAUUCUUAUGUUGUUUUCUCAGGUCAUUAUCAUACAUAAAAGAUGAUUACGUACUGUGUAGAAUUCUUCAUUUAUAUGGCAUCUCAGGUAUAGAUGUCUUCUUUGAUGAGUUUUAUCAGUAAUGGUUCAUUUCCACGUUAAAGCCAAAAUAAAGACUAUGGCGUCUAGAGGACGUAAUGCUAAUGCGCGUAAUAAAACAAUUGUUAUGACUUUCUCUCCCUUCGAGAUUCAGAAAGGAGUUACAAAUUUUCUGAAAAUAUGUGUUUACUUUAUUCUAUCUUCUGGCAUGACGUGUGUUGGGACGGAGCUUGUUAAAGAUGCUGCCAAAAUUCCUAAAGUUCUUGCUCAUAAGAGGCAGUAAUAAAGUCAAACAACUUUCAAGGGAUCUAAAGUCAUUUGAUAGGAAGGUACCAUUCAAUAAUGAAGGUGGUUUUAUUACCCUUUAUCAUAAGAAAAGUUCAUUCUCUUGCAUUCAAGUGCAAUGGGUAGGAACCAAUUUGUAUUGUUAUUGAUUAAAAAUUAACUUGUUGAAUGACUUAACUUUUGUGCAGGUCAUUGUACCAAGAAUGUAUAUCAUGGAGCAUAUGGAUUACAGCCUCUAGAACGAUCAAUACAUAUAUUUAUAGGAGAUUUAUUUGUAAUACCGACUAUAGACACACAAAAAAAAUUAGUUAGGCAUAAAGUGCUUAAUAUUAUGCAAAGUUAGUCUAGGUAUGGAUUUAAUGUAAUGAUAGAUUCUUUUUAUGUAUCAUAAUUUUUUAUUUAUGAUAUUUAUAUUA